rnacentral:rRNA from 1 species
CCCUUAGAUGUUCUGGGCUGCACGCGUGUUACAAUCGGGAGUACAACAAGAUUGCAAAUCCUAGUGGAUGAGUGGUUCUUCGAAAUUUUCUGAAGACUGGGAUAGUUGAUUGAAAUUAUUCAACUCGAACGAGGAAUUCCUUGUAAUUGUAAUUCAUUAUAUUGUAAUGAAUACGUCCCUGCCCUCUGUACACACUGCCCGUCGCUCCUACCGAUUGAACGAUCCGGUGAAUUAUUUGGAGUAGCUCUGGAAGUUGCAGAACUUCCUAUGUCACGAAAUUUUGUAAACCUUAUCGUUUAGAGGAAGGAAAAGUCGUAACA